UUGAAGUUACCUGGGAUCUGAGGUGCUGCUUUCUCUAUUAACAGGUUUUCCUCAUUCCUUUUUUCAUCCCAGGUUGGUACCUCUGAUUCUUAUUUUUGCCUGCACUCAAGUUCAGUAGACUCAGUGAUGGAAAGAGAACAUGGCACAGUUUCUCCAGUCAGUGCUAAUGAUGAGUAGAACGACAUAAUGGAGAGCAUGCUGCGUACA
rnacentral:lncRNA from 1 species